GAUGAACGCUGGCGGCGUGCCUAACACAUGCAAGUCGAGCGAUCUUCUUCGGAAGAGAGCGGCGGACGGGUGAGUAACGCGUGGGUAACCUGCCCUGUACACACGGAUAACAUACCGAAAGGUAUGCUAAUACGAGAUAAUAUGCUUUUGUCGCAUGGUAGAAGUAUCAAAGCUUUUGCGGUACAGGAUGGACCCGCGUCUGAUUAGCUAGUUGGUAAGGUAACGGCUUACCAAGGCUACGAUCAGUAGCCGACCUGAGAGGGUGAUCGGCCACAUUGGAACUGAGACACGGUCCAAACUCCUACGGGAGGCAGCAGUGGGGAAUAUUGCACAAUGGGCGAAAGCCUGAUGCAGCAACGCCGCGUGAGCGAUGAAGGCCUUCGGGUCGUAAAGCUCUGUCCUCAAGGAAGAUAAUGACGGUACUUGAGGAGGAAGCCCCGGCUAACUACGUGCCAGCCGCCGCCGUAA
rnacentral:rRNA from 1 species